rnacentral:rRNA from 1 species
UGGGGAAUCUUGGACAAUGGGCGCAAGCCUGAUCCAGCAAUGCCGCGUGCAGGAUGAAGGCCUUCGGGUUGUAAACUGCUUUUGUACGGAGCGAAAAGGUCUGCCCUAAUACGGUGGGCUCAUGACGGUACCGUAAGAAUAAGCACCGGCUAACUACGUGCCAGCAGCCGCGGUAAUACGUAGGGUGCGAGCGUUAAUCGGAAUUACUGGGCGUAAAGCGUGCGCAGGCGGUUAUAUAAGACAGAUGUGAAAUCCCCGGGCUCAACCUGGGACCUGCAUUUGUGACUGUAUAGCUAGAGUACGGUAGAGGGGGAUGGAAUUCCGCGUGUAGCAGUGAAAUGCGUAGAUAUGCGGAGGAACGCCGAUGGCGAAGGCAAUCCCCUGGACCUGUACUGACGCUCAUGCACGAAAGCGUGGGGAGCAAACA